AUUGAACGCUAGCGGGAUGCCUUACACAUGCAAGUCGAGCGGAGUGGCGAACGGGUGAGUAAUGUAUCGGAACGUGCCCAGUAGCGGGGGAUAACUACCCGAAAGCGUCGCUAAUACCGCAUACUAUUGGAGCGGCCGAUGUCGGAUUAGGUAGGUGGUGGGGUAACGGCUCACCAAGGCGACGAUCCGUAGCUGGGUUGAGAGGACGACCAGCCACACUGGGACUGAGACACGGCCCAGACGCCUACGGGAGGCAGCAGUGGGGAAUAUUGGACAAUGGGGGAAAGCCUGAUCCAGCCAUCCCGCGUGUGUGAUGAAGGCCGUCGGGUUGUAAAGCACUUUUGGCAGGAAAGCGGUACCUGCAGAAUAAGCACCGGCUAACUACGUGCCAGCAGCCGCGGUAAUAC
rnacentral:rRNA from 1 species